ensembl:lncRNA LINC01644 long intergenic non-protein coding RNA 1644
CCUUUGGUUAUUCAUGUAGCCACCUUAUCCUGCACAGGUCUGUGGCAGGCCGUGAGACGGUGACCAGAGAAGCAGUCAGCACUCACGGCCCCUGCCCUUUCAGAGUUUACGCUUGCUUGGAAGCCUCCAGAAUGGGGAUAAGCACAAGACAUUUAUGCUGGGCUUCAUCCAGGAAGCUCUGGUGGAAGGAAGAGAAAGCAGCCCACACAGCAAGGUUCAGGAGAAGAUUCCCAUGAAGGACAACUGGGGUUCAGCCCCAUCCAGCAGAUGACACGGAGCCGGCCUCGGAGGUGUCCUCACCGUGGGACACUGGCAUCUGAGCUACCUCAGGGCGUAGCCGGCCGAUGUUCCCAGCCUCCCCCUGGGCACAGCCAGCCCAGGCCAAGUGGUCUAGCGAACACUCUGUGUGGCUUCCCUCAUAAAUGCCCCCCAGGACUCAGAAUUCUCACCCCAAAGGAUUUGAGACCGAGUCUGCAAGACACGGAUCGUCCAGAUGAGUGUUUUCCUCUUUUCUCCGCGGCACUGAGGGGCUGAGAAGCAUCUGGAGAUCUCAUGCAACUCUCAAUUUCCCACCACAGCCCCGGCCCCCACUCAGCAUGGCCCAAAAAAGGAGCAAAAAGCAGAAAGCUCAAGGACCCUCAGAAUCAAGUUUUGCAGAAAGACACAAAGCUCAAGAACAGAGGUGCAACUAAGGGAACACACCCUGUAAGACUGCCUCCCAGACACACCACUGCAGCCAGUGAAUUGCACUGUUUAGACUUUGACUUCAGGGUCAGGGUGAGCUGAUGAGACUGGCCCCUUGAUGAAGUAAGAGGCCACCAAGGAGUGAGAGCGGCUGAGUUUGAGCCCUGCCUCUGCCGUCUGCAACUCUCUCAUCUUGAGCAGGUCCAGCCCCAGUGUGGGCCUCAGAUCUCCCAUCCUUGAGAUGAGAGAAUUCAAAUCCAGCUCCACCUCUGCAGCCCACGCCCUUCCCCUGCACUGCAUGGCAUCCGAUAGGCUUGAAGAAGGCGUGAAUGACAUUCAAAGGGCCACAUCAUCUAAGUCGCACUCCUCUCCCAUCCCAUCCCUUGUUGUCCUUUACAUGAUUCCCAUUCAUCUUUCUUCUCUUGGGCCCAGGGGUGUGCUGGUGAAUGUUUAACAGCCACUCCAUGAAAAAAUAAAACGGUCUUGAUUGA